GGUACAAGUAAACCCAAAACACUCUGAUUUCAGGUUCGGAUCAACCUUUUCUUGUUUUGGAAAUCCUCCAAAAACAAGAACAAAAACUCACAAAUAAUAAGAAAAUUUAGAGCACAGAUUAAUACAAUAACAGCUCCUUAAAUGAGCGAAUAUAACAAUAAAAGCUUUACUCAAUUGAAGAACCCCUUUUCGGAUUUUUUCAAAGUGGAUGAACGCUUGAACGAAUGCUUGAGAAGAGGUUGAUUGUUGAUUGAAGAUCUCUUGAAAGCUUUGGAAGAUCUCUAGAUCAAGGUUGAACAAUAGGCUUGAAAGAUCCUCUCUUUGAAAGCUCUUGAAUCUCUUUCACAAUCUCUCGUGUGGAUUUUGGAUCCUCUCUCUUUUUCUUUUUGGAUAUUUCGUUGAUCUCAGGCUUUUUCGUGCAGAUUUCGGAUCCUCUCUCUCAUUUUUCUCACGUUUGAUCUGCCGAUUGCUCUUCUAGAUUUCAUGUUUGAUCUGCUAUUUAAUCUGCAAUUUUUUUCACCAUUUAAAGCAUUUUAUAACAUUAGAAGCAAGAGAAAAUAAUUUAGGCAGAUAAAGAGCCGUUAGAGUAAUUUUAGGAAGCAUAAAAGGCAAUUAAAAUGGGCAAAAAAAUAGCCGUUGCUGAUAUUUUCCGUCGCAGGGGUCGACUCAUGAGUCGACUCAUGCUUCAGGAGUCGACUCAUGAGUCGACUUCUGUUGCAACAGCCAGAAAAUGAGUUUCUGUAACUUUUGGCC
rnacentral:lncRNA from 1 species